rnacentral:rRNA from 1 species
GACGAACGCUGGCGGCGUGCCUAAUACAUGCAAGUCGAACGGUCUUUUCUAUGGAAGCUUGCUUCCACUGGGAAGAUAGUGGCGGACGGGUGAGUAACACGUGGGUAACCUGCCCAUAAGAGGGGGAUAACAUCCGGAAACGGGUGCUAAUACCGCAUAGGUUUCUUGGUCGCAUGAUCGAGAAAGGAAGACGGCCUUUGUGCUGUCGCUUAUGGAUGGACCCGCGGCAUAGUAGUUGGCGAGGUAACGGCUCACCAAGGCAAUGACGGGUAGCUGGUCUGAGAGGAUGGUCAGCCACACUGGGACUGAGACACGGCCCAGACUCCUACGGGA